GCAGCCUUGAGAACAUUCGUCCUGACAACGAUAGGAACCCAAAUUCGAUUCUGAAAUCUAAACAACCCGGCAUUUGAGAUCCUGAAAUUAAGAAGUUCAUUAAAAAAGAAUUUACUCAAAUUCUUAGUGAGUUCUUAGUCCAUGGACUAAGCUUCCCAAAUCUUCAUGAAAAGAUCACGCAAGACUCAUAUCUGAGCAAGAUAGGUACCU
rnacentral:lncRNA from 1 species